rnacentral:rRNA from 1 species
AUUGAACGCUGGCGGCAGGCCUAACACAUGCAAGUCGAGCGGAUGAAGGGAGCUUGCUCCUGGAUUCAGCGGCGGACGGGUGUGUAAUGCCUAGGAAUCUGCCUGGUAGUGGGGGAUAACGUCCGGAAACGGGCGCUAAUACCGCAUACGUCCUGAGGGAGAAAGUGGGGGAUCUUCGGACCUCACGCUAUCAGAUGAGCCUAGGUCGGAUUAGCUAGUUGGUGGGGUAAAGGCCUACCAAGGCGACGAUCCGUAACUGGUCUGAGAGGAUGAUCAGUCACACUGGAACUGAGACACGGUCCAGACUCCUACGGAAGGCAGCAGUGGGGAAUAUUGGACAAUGGGCGAAAGCCUGAUCCAGCCAUGCCGCGUGUGUGAAGAAGGUCUUCGGAUUGUAAAGCACUUUAAGUUGGGAGGAAGGGCAGUAAGUUAAUACCUUGCUGUUUUGACGUUACCAACAGAAUAAGCACCGGCUAACUUCGUG